rnacentral:rRNA from 1 species
CCUACGGGGGGCAGCAGUGAGGAAUAUUGGUCAAUGGACGAGAGUCUGAACCAGCCAAGUAGCGUGAAGGAUGACUGCCCUAUGGGUUGUAAACUUCUUUUAUAUGGGAAUAAAAUGUUCCACGUGUGGGAUUUUGUAUGUACUAUAUGAAUAAGGAUCGGCUAACUCCGUGCCAGCAGCCGCGGUAAUACGGAGGAUCCGAGCGUUAUCCGGAUUUAUUGGGUUUAAAGGGAGCGUAGGUGGAUUGUUAAGUCAGUUGUGAAAGUUUGCGGCUCAACCGUAAAAUUGCAGUUGAAACUGGCGGUCUUGAGAACAGUAGGGGUGGACGGAAUUGGGGGUGUAGCGGUGAAAUGCUUGGAUAUAACGAAGAACUCCAAU